rnacentral:rRNA from 1 species
CCUCAAAGAGGGGGACAACAGUUGGAAACGACUGCUAAUACCCGCAUAAGCCCACGACCCGGCAUCGGGUAGAGGGAAAAGGAGCAAUCCGCUUUGAGAUGGCCUCGCGUCCGAUUAGCUAGUUGGUGAGGUAACGGCCCACCAAGGCGACGAUCGGUAGCCGGACUGAGAGGUUGAACGGCCACAUUGGGACUGAGACACGGCCCAGACUCCUACGGGAGGCAGCAGUGGGGAAUAUUGCACAAUGGGGGAAACCCUGAUGCAGCGACGCCGCGUGGAGGAAGAAGGUCUUCGGAUUGUAAACUCCUGUUGUUGAGGAAGAUAAUGACGGUACUCAACAAGGAAGUGACGGCUAACUACGUGCCAGCAGCCGCGGUAAAACGUAGGUCACAAGCGUUGUCCGGAAUUACUGGGUGUAAAGGGAGCGCAGGCGGGAAGGCAAGUUGGAAGUGAAAUCCAUGGGCUCAACCCAUGAACUGCUUUCAAAACUGUUUUUCUUGAGUAGUGCAGAGGUAGGCGGAAUUCCCGGUGUAGCGGUGGAAUGCGUAGAUAUCGGGAGGAACACCAGUGGCGAAGGCGGCCUACUGGGCACCAACUGACGCUGAGGCUCGAAAGUGUGGGUAGCAAACAGGAUUAGAUACCCUGGUAGUCCACACUGUAAACGAUGAUUACUAGGUGUUGGAGGAUUGACCCCUUCAGUGCCGCAGUUAACACAAUAAGUAAUCCACCUGGGGAGUA